rnacentral:tRNA from 1 species
GGUUCUAUAGCUCAGUGGCAGAGUGCUUGCCUUACACACAUGAGGUACUGAGUUCGACCCUUAGCACCA